UACGUAGGGCGCAAGCGUUUAUCCGGAAUUAUUGGGCGUAAAGAGCUCGUAGGCGGUUCAGUAAGUCGGGUGUGAAAACUUUGGGCUUAACCCAAAGCGUGCAUCCGAUACUGCUGUGACUUGAGUACGGUAGGGGAGCGGGGAAUUCCUAGUGUAGCGGUGAAAUGCGCAGAUAUUAGGAAGAACACCGGUGGCGAAGGCGGCCCACUGGCUCGAUACUGACGCUGAGGUGCGAAAGCGUGGGGAGCAAACAGG
rnacentral:rRNA from 1 species